UACGUAGGUCCCGAGCGUUGUCCGGAUUUAUUGGGCGUAAAGCGAGCGCAGGUGGUUUAUUAAGUCUGGUGUAAAAGGCAGUGGCUCAACCAUUGUAUGCAUUGGAAACUGGUAGACUUGAGUGCAGGAGAGGAAAGUGGAAUUCCAUGUGUAGCGGUGAAAUGCGUAGAUAUAUGGAGGAACACCGGUGGCGAAAGCGGCUCUCUGGCCUGUAACUGACACUGAGGCUCGAAAGCGUGGGUAGCAAACAGG
rnacentral:rRNA from 1 species